rnacentral:rRNA from 1 species
ACGUAAAGAUUUAAAGGUCGAACAGACCUAUUAACUCAAGCUUCUGCACUCAAGAACUUCUUUAAUUCAACAUCGAGGUCGCAAACUUUAUUAUCAAUAAGAACUCUCCAAUAAAAUCACGCUGUUAUCCCUAAGGUAACUUAUUCUAAUAAUCAAUAAUAAUGGAUCAAAAUUUCAUUAAUUAAUGUUAAACUAUUAAAAGAGUUCAAUAUAUCUUCCUGUCACCCCAACAAAAUAAACAACUUAUUAAAAAAAAAAUCUUAAACUAUAAUUUUCCAAUAAAAAAAUUUAUAAAGUUCUAUAGGGUCUUCUCGUCCUCUAACAAAAUUUCAGCCUUUUAACUGAAAAGCUAAAUUAUUAUAACUUAUAAAAAUGAGACAGCUUAUACUUCGUUCAACCAUUCAUUCCAGCCUCUAAUUAAAAGGCAAAUGAUUAUGCUACCUUUGCACAGUCAAAAUACUGCGGCCCUUAAAUAAAAUUCAGUGGGCAGGCCAGACUUUAUAUUAUAAUCAAAAAGAC